UACGAAGGGUGCAAGCGUUACUCGGAAUUACUGGGCGUAAAGCGUGCGUAGGUGGUUUGUUAAGUCUGAUGUGAAAGCCCUGGGCUCAACCUGGGAAUGGCAUUGGAUACUGGCGAGCUAGAGUGCGGUAGAGGGUAGUGGAAUUCCCGGUGUAGCAGUGAAAUGCGUAGAGAUCGAGCGGAACACCAGUGGCGAAGGCGGCUUUCUGGACGGUGACUGACGCUGAGACGCGAAAGCGUGGGGAGCAAACAGG
rnacentral:rRNA from 1 species